UUAAAGGAAUUACGGGGCCCGCACAAGCGGAGGAACAUGUGGUUUAAUUCGACGCUACGCGAAGAACCUUACCUGGGCUUGAACUGCUGGUGGUAGAAGCCCGAAAGGGUAACGACCCGGAGCAAUCCGGGAGCCAGUAGAGGUGCUGCAUGGCUGUCGUCAGCUCGUGUCGUGAGAUGUUGGGUUAAGUCCCGCAACGAGCGCAACCCUUACCCCUAGUUGCCAGCGGGUAAUGCCGGGGCACUCUAAGGGGACCGCCCGGAUAACGGGGAGGAAGGCGGGGAUGACGUCAAGUCAGCAUGGCCCUUAUGUCCAGGGCUACACACGUGCUACAAUGGGCAGUACAAAGGGUAGCAAGCCUGCGAAGGUGAGCCAAUCCCAAAAAGCUGUUCGUAGUUCGGAUUGGAGUCUGCAACUCGACUCCAUGAAGCUGGAAUCGCUAGUAAUCGCGGAUCAGCAUGCCCGCGGUCGAAUACGUUCCCGGGCCUU
rnacentral:rRNA from 1 species